rnacentral:rRNA from 1 species
UACGGAGGGUGCGAGCGUUAAUCGGAAUAACUGGGCGUAAAGGGCACGCAGGCGGGCUUUUAAGUGAGAUGUGAAAUCCCCGGGCUUAACCUGGGAAUAACAUUUCAGACUGGGAGUCUAGAGUACUUUAGGGAGGGGUAGAAUUCCACGUGUAGCGGUGAAAUGCAUAGAGAUGUGGAGGAAUACCGAAGGCGAGGGCAGCCCCUUGGGAAUGCACUGACGCUCAUGUGCGAAAGCGUGGGGGGCAAACAGG